UACGGAGGGUGCAAGCGUUAAUCGGAAUUACUGGGCGUAAAGCGUGCGCAGGCGGUUUUGUAAGUCUGACGUGAAUUCCCCGGGCUCAACCUGGGAAUUGCGUUGGAGACUGCAAGGCUUGAAUCUGGCAGAGGGGGGUAGAAUUCCACGUGUAGCAGUGAAAUGCGUAGAGAUGUGGAGGAACACCGAUGGCGAAGGCAGCCCCCUGGGUCAAGAUUGACGCUCAUGCACGAAAGCGUGGGGAGCAAACAGG
rnacentral:rRNA from 1 species